AACGAACGCUGGCGGCAUGCCUAACACAUGCAAGUCGAACGAGACCUUCGGGUCUAGUGGCGCACGGGUGCGUAACGCGUGGGAACCUGCCCUUAGGUUCGGAAUAACUCCCCGAAAGGGGUUCUAAUACCGGAUAAUGUCUUCGGACCAAAGAUUUAUCGCCUUUGGAUGGGCCCGCGUUGGAUUAGCUAGUUGGUAGGGUAAAAGCAUACCAAGGCGACGAUCCAUAGCUGGUCUGAGAGGAUGAUCAGCCACACUGGGACUGAGACACGGCCCAGACUACUACGGGAGGCAGCAGUGGGGAAUAGUGGACAAUGGGCGAAAGCCUGAUCCAGCAAUGCCGCGUGAGUGAUGAAGGCCUUAGGGUUGUAAAGCUCUUUUACCCGGGAUGAUAAUGACAGUACCGGGAGAAUAAGCUCCGGCUAACUCCGUG
rnacentral:rRNA from 1 species